rnacentral:rRNA from 1 species
GAUGAACGCUGGCGGCGUGCCUAAUACAUGCAAGUCGAGCGAACGGACGCGAAGCUUGCUUCUCUGAUGUUAGCGGCGGACGGGUGAGUAACACGUGGAUAACCUACCUAUAAGUCUGGGAUAACUUCGGGAAACCGGAGCUAAUACCGGAUAAUAUUUUGAACCGCAUGGUUCAAAAGUGAAAGACGGUCUUGCUGUCACUUAUAGAUGGAUCCGCGCUGCAUUAGCUAGUUGGUAAGGUAACGGCUUACCAAGGCAACGAUGCAUAGCCGACCUGAGAGGGUGAUCGGCGACACUGGAACUGAGACACGGUCCAGACGCCUACGGGAGGCAGCAGUAGGGAAUCUUCCGCAAUGGGCGGAAGCCUGACGGAGCAGCGCCGCGGGGGUGAUGAAGGUCGUCGGAUCGUAAAACUCUGUUAUUAGGGAAGAACAUAUGUGUAAGUAACUGUGCACAGCUUGACGGUACCUAAACAGAAAGCCACGGCUAACUACGUG